rnacentral:misc_RNA from 1 species
UGCAGGCGAUCUCCCCUUCGUCUCCCCUCGUGUCUUUUAUACCGAUUCGGCGUCGCAUCACCCGAUUAGCUCCCAACAAACUCUUUGUUCAUUGUAUCUAUCGAUCGGAUUCUGUCUAUUUUCCCAAUGGUGUUGGCUCCAGUCGAGCCGACUGGCAGAGCUCUUGCGCUAUAUUAGCUAGCAAAGUUGCUGCUCAAGAGCAGCCUACUGAUAAAUCUGGUGAAGAUUAUGUCAACGAUGGCAGUACUGACCAUGUCGCAGCCAUCAAUGGUCAUAAGACCUCUAUGGAUCUUGAUUUAGUCCCUCUCAACAAAGGCUCUAGUGAUGAUGGCAACUCCAAUAACAAUAAGCUG